rnacentral:rRNA from 1 species
GACUAACGCUGGCGGCGUGCCUAAUACAUGCAAGUCGAACGGGAUUCUUUGAUCAGCUUGCUGAGAGAAGGAUCUAGUGGCGGACGGGUGAGUAACGCGUGGGAAUCUGCCUCUUACUGGGGGAUAACAGUGGGAAACUACUGCUAAUACCGCAUAAGAUCUUCGGAUGAAAGGUGCAACUGCACCGGUAAGAGAUGAGCCCGCGUCCCAUUAGCUAGUUGGUGAGGUAAAGGCUCACCAAGGCGACGAUGGGUAGCCGGCCUGAGAGGGUGAACGGCCACACUGGGACUGAGACACGGCCCAGACUCCUACGGGAGGCAGCAGUAGGGAAUCUUCCGCAAUGGGCGCAAGCCUGACGGAGCGACGCCGCGUGAGUGAUGAAGGCCUUCGGGUCGUAAAGCUCUGUUCUUGAGGACGAAUAAGACCAGGGAGUGGAAAGCCCGUGGUGAUGACUGUACUCAAGGAGAAAGCUCCGGCUAACUACGUGCCAG